rnacentral:rRNA from 1 species
AGUCGUAACAAGGUUUCCGUAGGUGAACCUGCGGAAGGAUCAUUAGUGAAUAUAGGACGUCCAACUUAACUUGGAGUCCGAACUCUCACUUUCUAACCCUGUGCACUUGUUUGGGAUAGUAACUCUCGCAAGAGAGCGAACUCCUAUUCACUUAUAAACACAAAGUCUAUGAAUGUAUUAAAUUUUAUAACAAAAUAAAACUUUCAACAACGGAUCUCUUGGCUCUCGCAUCGAUGAAGAACGCAGCGAAAUGCGAUAAGUAAUGUGAAUUGCAGAAUUCAGUGAAUCAUCGAAUCUUUGAACGCACCUUGCGCUCCAUGGUAUUCCGUGGAGCAUGCCUGUUUGAGUGUCAUGAAUACUUCAACCCUCCUCUUUCUUAAUGAUUGAAGAGGUGUUUGGUUUCUGAGCGCUGCUGGCCUUUACGGUCUAGCUCGUUCGUAAUGCAUUAGCAUCCGCAAUCGAACUUCGGAUUGACUUGGCGUAAUAGACUAUUCGCUGAGGAAUUCUAGUCUUCGGAUUAGAGCCGAGUUGGGUUAAAGGAAGCUUCUAAUCAGAAUGUCUACAUUUUAAGAUUAGAUCUCAAAUCAGGUAGGACUACCCGCUGAACUUAAGCAUAUCAAUAAAGUCG